CCUACGGGCGGCAGCAGUAGGGAAUAUUGCUCAAUGGGGGAAACUCUGAAGCAGCAACGCCGCGUGGAGGAUGACGGUUUUCGGAUUGUAAACUUCUUUUGUUAGAGAAGAUAAUGACGGUAUGUAACGAAUAAGCACUGUCUAACUCCGUGCCAGCAGCCGCGGUAAUACGGAGGGUGCAAGCGUUACUCGGAAUCACUGGGCGUAAAGAGCGCGUAGGCGGGUUAGCAAGUCAGAUGUGAAAUCCUAUGGCUUAACCGUAGAACUGCAGUUGAAACUGUUAUUCUAGAGUAUGGGAGAGGUAGGUGGAAUUCUUGGUGUAGGGGUAAAAUCCGUAGAGAUCAAGAGGAAUACUCAUUGCGAAGGCGAGCUGCUAGAACGUAACUGACGCUGAUGCGCGAAAGCGUGGGGAGCAAACAGGAUUAGAUACCCCGGUAGUC
rnacentral:rRNA from 1 species